CGGGCUGUGGCUCAGCUUGGUAGAGCGCUUGAAUGGGGUUCAAGAGGUCGUGGGUUCGAAUCCCGCCAGCCCGA
rnacentral:tRNA from 1 species